rnacentral:rRNA from 1 species
UUGAAAGGGAAACGAUUGAAGUCAGUCGUGCUGGCGUGAAAUCAACCACUACACCGCUGGAUCAUGUUGGCGGGUGAGCCUAAAAACCACCGCGUCAACAUUUUUAAGCGUGUAGUGGUGCACUUUUGUGUCGGCUGGUUAGCAUCAAUUUCGACCGUCAUAAAAAGGCUGGAGGGAUGUGGCUCCUUCGGGAGUGUUAUAACCUUUAGCGGAAUGUGGUGUUCGGGAUUGAGGAUUGCAACGAAUACCUUUAGGGCUGUUCCACCUGGCUUCUCUUUGGUAUCCUGGUGACGACAGCUUGCUGACGUCGUUAGGAUUCGCCUUUGAACAGGCUAGAGUGUGAGCAAAUUCGUUAAGGAUGUUGACGUA